rnacentral:rRNA from 1 species
AAGUGACAGGACCUAGCACGAGCCGGCGCGCCUCGGGGCAACCCCGAGCCGCGGUCCGGCGCCUGGAACUGAGAGCAACCCAAACCCCUCACCGAGGAUCCGUCGGAGGGCAAGUCUGGUGCCAGCAGCCGCGGUAAUUCCAGCUCCAAUAGCGUAUAUUAAAGUUGUUGCAGUUAAAAAGCUCGUAGUUGAAGUUCUGAUUGUUCGGCCUCGUGCUUUAUAGCCGAGGAACCGACAGUCAUCCGCUUGCAAAUAUAUGUUUGCCUUUAAUUGGGUGGCUAUAUGAGUAAGCAAUUUACCUUGAGAAAAACAGAGUGUUCCAGGCAGGUUUGUCCGGAAUGCAUUAGCAUGGAAUAAUAGAAUAUGACUGAAGUCGAUUUAUUGGUUUAAGGCUUUAGUAAUGAUUAAUAGGAACAGUCGGGGGCAUUGGUACUUGACAGUCAGAGGUGAAAUUCUAGGAUUUGUCAAAGACUAACAAAUGCGAAAGCAUUUGCCAAGGAUGUUUUCAUUAAUCAAGAACGAAAGUUAGGGG